rnacentral:rRNA from 1 species
UACGUAGGUGGCGAACGUUGUCCGGAUUUACUGGGCGUAAAGCGCGCGCAGGCGGACCGAUAAGUCAGAGGUGAAAUCUCCCGGCUCAACUGGGAGGGGCCCUUUGAUACUGUCGGUCUUGAGAUGCCUAGAGGAGAGUGGAAUUCCCGGUGUAGUGGUGGAAUGCGUAGAUAUCCGGAGGAACACCGGUGGCGAAGGCGGCUUCCUGGACCGACACUGACGCUGAGGCGCGAAAGCCAGGGGAGCAAACGGG